rnacentral:rRNA from 1 species
GGAUAGGCGUUCUGAGAGGAAGGUCCCCACACUGGAACUGAGACACGGUCCAGACUCCUACGGAGGCAGCAGUGAGGAAUAUUGGUCAAUGGGCGUGAGCCUGAACCAGCCAAAUCGCGUGAAGGAUGACGGCCCUAUGGGUUGUAAACUUCUAUACAGGGGAAUAAAGUGCUCCACGUGUGGAGUUUGUAUGUACCUUGUGAAUAAAAGCAUCGGCUAACUCCGUGCCAGCAGCCGCGGUAAUACGGAGGAUGCGAGCGUUAUCCGGAUUUAUUGGGUUUAAGGUGCGUAGGCGGAUAGUUAAGUCAGCGGUGAAAGUUUCGGCUCAACCGGAAAAUUGCCGUGUGUGAAACUGUCUGUUCUUGAGUGCAGAAGAGGUAGGCGGAAUUCGUUGUGUAGCGGUGAAAUGCGUAGAUAUCACGAAGAACACCGAUUGCGUAGGCAGCUCACUGGACUGCAACUGACACUGAUGCUCGAAAGUGUGGGUAUCAACAGGAUUAGAUACCCUGGUAGUCCACCCAGUAAACGAUGAAUACUAGCUGUUUGCGAUAUACAGCAAGCGGCCGAGCGAAGCAUUAAGUAUUCCACCUGGGGAGUACGCCGGCAACGGUGAAACUCAAAGGAAUUGACGGGCCCGCACAAGCGGAGGAACAUGUGGUUUAAUUCGAUGAU